CAUUCAUUUAAGGUCACUUAUGAUACUAUAAAGAUUUUGUAUGCAGCCAAACAACCCCAAAUUAGUUCCCGCGCAUACCAAAAUUUAGAACCCCGCGCACACCAAAGUUUGGAAUCCCAGCGCGCACCUCCGCCUACAGCUAAAAAGGAAGAAAAAAACAUAAAAAUUAGGUGUUGAGCCCAAUAGCCCAACUGCCCUUCAGUACUAGCCUGUUCAGCCCAUGGUUUUAUGGCCA
rnacentral:lncRNA from 1 species